GGGACACGUGGUAUCCUGUCUGAAUAUGGGGGGACCAUCCUCCAAGGCUAAAUACUCCUGACUGACCGAUAGUGAACCAGUACCGUGAGGGAAAGGCGAAAAGAACCCCGGCGAGGGGAGUGAAAAAGAACCUGAAACCGUGUACGUACAAGCAGUGGGAGCACCUUCGGGUGUGACUGCGUACCUUUUGUAUAAUGGGUCAGCGACUUAUAUUCUGUAGCAAGGUUAACCGUAUAGGGGAGCCGCAGGGAAACCGAGUCUUAACUGGGCGUUAAGUUGCAGGGUAUAGACCCGAAACCCGGUGAUCUAGCCAUGGGCAGGUUGAAGGUUGGGUAACACUAACUGGAGGACCGAACCGACUAAUGUUGAAAAAUUAGCGGAUGACUUGUGGCUGGGGGUGAAAGGCCAAUCAAACCGGGAGAUAGCUGGUUCUCCCCGAAAGCUAUUUAGGUAGCGCCUCGUGAAUUCAUCUUCGGGGGUAGAGCACUGUUUCGGCUAGGGGGUCAUCCCGACUUACCAACCCGAUGCAAACUACGAAUACCGAAGAAUGUUAUCACGGGAGACACACGGCGGGUGCUAACGUCCGUCGUGAAGAGGGAAACAACCCAGACCGCCAGCUAAGGUCCCAAAGUCAUGGUUAAGUGGGAAACGAUGUGGGAAGGCACAGACAGCCAGGAUGUUGGCUUAGAAGCAGCCAUCAUUUAAAGAAAGCGUAAUAGCUCACUGGUCGAGUCGGCCUGCGCGGAAGAUGUAACGGGGCUAAACCAUGCACCGAAGCUGCGGCAGCGACACUAUGUGUUGUUGGGUAGGGGAG
rnacentral:rRNA from 1 species